UCUGCCCGCUGGCGGCGUGCCUAAUACAUGCAAGUCGAGCGAACAGACGAGGAGCUUGCUCCUCUGACGUUAGCGGCGGACGGGUGAGUAACACGUGGAUAACCUACCUAUAAGACUGGGAUAACUUCGGGAAACCGGAGCUAAUACCGGAUAACAUGUUGAACCGCAUGGUUUAACAGUGAAAGACGGUCUUGCUGUCACUUAUAGAUGGAUCCGCGCCGCAUUAGCUAGUUGGUAAGGUAACGGCUUACCAAGGCAACGAUGUGUAGCCGACCUGAGAGGGUGAUCGGCCACACUGGAACUGAGACACGGUCCAGACUCCUACGGGAGGCAGCAGUAGGGAAUCUUCCGCAAUGGGCGAAAGCCUGACGGAGCAACGCCGCGUGAGUGAAGAAGGUCUUCGGAUCGUAAAACUCUGUUAUUAGGGAAGAACAAAUGUGUAAGUAACUAUGCACGUCUUGACGGUACCUAAUCAGAAAGCCACGGCUAACUACGUG
rnacentral:rRNA from 1 species